rnacentral:rRNA from 1 species
GAUGAACGCUGGCGGCGUGCUUAACACAUGCAAGUCGAACGGUGAACCCGGAGCUUGCUCUGUGGGAUCAGUGGCGAACGGGUGAGUAGCACGUGAGCAACCUGCCCCUGACUCUGGGAUAAGCGCUGGAAACGGCGUCUAAUACUGGAUAUGUGACGUGACCGCAUGGUCUGCGUUUGGAAAGAUUUUUCGGUUGGGGAUGGGCUCGCGGCCUAUCAGCUUGUUGGUGAGGUAAUGGCUCACCAAGGCGUCGACGGGUAGCCGGCCUGAGAGGGUGACCGGCCACACUGGGACUGAGACACGGCCCAGACUCCUACGGGAGGCAGCAGUGGGGAAUAUUGCACAAUGGGCGCAAGCCUGAUGCAGCAACGCCGCGUGAGGGAUGACGGCCUUCGGGUUGUAAACCUCUUUUAGCAGGGAAGAAGCGAAAGUGACGGUACCUGCAGAAAAAGCGCCGGCUAACUACGUG